UACGAAGGGGGCGAGCGUUUGUUCGGAUUUACUGGGCGUAAAGGGCGCGCAGGCGGCUCAUUUUGUCAGGCGUGAAAGCCCCGGGCUUAACCUGGGAACUGCGUUUGAUACGGAUGGGCUAGAGUUCGGGAGAGGAGAGUGGAAUUCCCGAGUGUAGAGGUGAAAUUCGUAGAUAUCAGGAGGAACACCGAUGGCGAAGGCAGGUCUCUGGGCUGACACUGACGCUCAUGCACGAAAAGCGUGGGGAGCAAACAGG
rnacentral:rRNA from 1 species